GAUGAACGCUGGCGGCGUGCUUAACACAUGCAAGUCGAACGAUGAAGCCCAGCUUGCUGGGUGGAUUAGUGGCGAACGGGUGAGUAACACGUGAGUAACCUGCCCUUAACUCUGGGAUAAGCCUGGGAAACUGGGUCUAAUACCGGAUAGGAGCGCCUACCGCAUGGUGGGUGUUGGAAAGAUUUAUCGGUUUUGGAUGGACUCGCGGCCUAUCAGCUUGUUGGUGAGGUAAUGGCUCACCAAGGCGACGACGGGUAGCCGGCCUGAGAGGGUGACCGGCCACACUGGGACUGAGACACGGCCCAGACUCCUACGGGAGGCAGCAGUGGGGAAUAUUGCACAAUGGGCGAAAGCCGGAUGCAGCGACGCCGCGUGAGGGAUGACGGCCUUCGGGUUGUAAACCUCUUUCAGUAGGGAAGAAGCGAAAGUGACGGUACCUGCAGAAGAAGCACCGGCUAACUACGU
rnacentral:rRNA from 1 species